UUCGACAAUCGACGAACGUUUGCCGAAACGACUAUUCCCGAAUGCAGGAAUGUUAUCUCAGGGAGGGCCGUCAUUUAGAGGACGUUAUUUUCAAAACGUGAGUUCUGUUUGCUUUUUUGUAAAUGGCAUACAUGUACCUUUUUCUGUGACAAUAAGGUUAUGUAACAACAAUUAUAUUAUUACUGUGCAUUUUCAAAAUCUCCCACUUCCUCGCGCCGCUCUGUAUAUCGUAACAUCGCUUGCUGUCGCUCUCAGUAGCUGAAAUACAAAUUAGUUUGUUUUCUGAAGCGACAAAGACAAAUUAAGAUGGCUUCCGAGUUCGAUUCAGAAGUUUUUAAUAAGCGAAAUUCGGAAAAGAAUCCUGUACUAUGAAACAUGAGAGAUAAAAAUUACGAUAAUCGGCAUUUAGUAGAUAAGUAAUGGGACGAUAUUUCAUUAUAGAUGCUAUAGAAGCGCCCUUCGUAGGACAGAUUGUCGCUUGUAGCGUAGCAUAGCGAAGCAUUGCGUUUGUAGUAUCGCAUCGUGUAGCUUCGUGUUGCUUACUCAUGGGACACGGCUUUAGAGAAGACCGCCGAUUUAAGCUCGUAUCCGAUUUUCUUCACUUGCGCGUCCGUUCGAGGGUAAGUUUAUUAAUUAAUAUAAUCCCAGAGAAGAAUGAAAAACAUAGUUAUGCGAUAGCGACGUCGCAAUUAUAUGUCUUAUGAUGUAACAUGUCAAACGAUGUUGGCUGUGAGUAAAAAUAUAAUGUGCAUUCCAAGAAUUAUUAUGACGGAAUUUUAAUAGAAUUUCAACUUUAAAUAUAUCCAAACAAUCGAAGAACGUAAUAACAUUCAAAUUAAAACCAAAAUCUGAAAGAUUUUACAUGCGUUUUCAUCACAAUUCUGAAAUAUUCUAGCCUUCGAUCGAUUUUAAAAUUCCAUAGGCAUCCGGCAGGUGUUGCUGAAUUUUCAACACUCUUCAUCUCCAAUUUGCGCCAACUUACAAUUUCCAUAGAUAGAAAAGCAGACAUCUAUUUUUAUUAUUGUAGAAUUAUAAUAAUUAGUGAAUUUCAUUUUCAUCAAUUAAUGAAUUUACUUAAUGAAAUAAAAAAAAUAAAAAAUAAGCAAAAUUUUUGCAAUAAAAAGAUGGAAAGUUUUAUUACCUGACCUGAUAAACUUUAAAAGAAAAUGGUCUUCGUUUUCUUUUACGUGAAUAAAAUGACCGGCAUUUUGCUACUCGCCGUAUAUAGUAAACUACUGAACUGUGAACUUUAAAAAAAAAAUAUGACCAUCAUUUUCGUUUAAAAGUUAAGAGUUUAGUAUUUUUACUUUAUUUGUUGUAUCUUACGUCAUAAUAAUGCCAGAAUGUUUUCUAUUAUACAAUGCUAUCAAUCGUUAUACAAUACUGAUUUGCAGUUAUACGUCUGUUGAUGUCAUAUGUCAUCAGAUAUAUGGCAUAUUUUCUAUUUCUGUUAAGAAGAAAGUUAAAAACAAAUAUUGUUAGAUUCAUUGCCUGCAUAUUUUAGCCUACUUUCCAAAGGAAA
rnacentral:lncRNA from 1 species